CUUAGAAAGUUCUGUCUUAGUAAUGUACAGAUCUCAAUGUAUUAAGCCUAGUACUCAUUAGUUAUUUUUCAUGACACUCUCCCUCCUCCCACCCUCCACCUCCAGUAGGCCCCAGUGUGUGUUGUUCCCUUCUAUGUGUCCAUGUGUUCUCAUCAUUUAGCUCCCACUUAUAAGUGAGAGCAUGUGAUCUUUGGUUUUCUCUUCCUGCCUUAGUUUGCCAAGGAUGAUCACCUCCAGCUCCAUCCAUGUCCCUGCAAAGGACAUGAUGGUGUAUAUGUACCAAAUUUUCUUCAUCCAGUCUAUCACUGAUGGACAUUUAGAUUGAUUUCAUAUUUUUGCUAUUGUGAAUAGUGUUUCAAUGAAUAUACUCAUGCAUUUAUCUUUAUAAUAGAAUGAUUUAUAUUUUGGAAGGUAUAUACCCAGUAAUAGGAUUGCCAGGUC
rnacentral:lncRNA from 1 species